UCUUCCUUUGUAACAAAGAUUUUUAAAAAGCAAGUUGGCAGAACCAAGCAACUUAAGAACUGCAGACAUUGGUACCGAAACCCGGGAGUCCAAAUAUUAAUUGGACUCUGCUGAUCUUCUCCUAGCCACUGGAAUAACAGGAUACCAAGCAUUGCGAUGGAGAGGCGAUCAUCACCAAAGGGCAGGAAGCUGAUUUUUAUCAUGCUCGUUGAUUUUUAAUGGCCUUGUGGAUUGAGGGUGAGUGCCCUUUCUGUCCAACUGCGGGGACCCAAGAUUAAUUGAAAAGGAAGGAUGAACAGAAACCACUGCCACUGCGUAAGCUCAUAUAUGGGGCAAGAUUUGAGGAAGAAAAGACUUCUGGCUCAGACUCCACCAUUGAGAUUCACAGUACAUAAAUACAAACCAGGGGACUGGGUACUGCUCAAAUCCUGGAAGGAGACCAAACUUCAGCCUGACUGGGAACGACCCUACCAAGUGUUGCUGAUCACAGAAACAGCAAUCUGGACAGCCAAAAAGGAGUGGACACAUUAUACCAGAGUCAAAGGACCAGUGGAUGAACCCCAGGAAUGGACUAUUCAAAGUUGCCCUGAUCCGGGAAGGAAGGGGAUAUCAAAAGACCCUGGAUUGAUCAUUCUUGUGUUUACAGUAUUGUUUCUUAUACUUGUAGUAAUAUUCUUGGUAGCCAUUUGCGAGAAACUUAGAGAAGGGAUCCAUUUAUUGAAAGAGCUAGUUAGGGAUGAUAGGUGUAGGGCUCCUGUGUGUGUAGUAUUAGGAAUUAUAAAAACAGCUAUAUAGAGAAUUAUGGCAGAACUUCGCAAAUACUUCCAUUGUCAUAUUUAGUGAUAGCAGUCCUAAUCCUCCCUGGUCUGGCCCAUCCUGUGCCUCUUCCCAUUGCCUUUUUACAACUAGCCAAAAUAGUGACUAACACUUUCGACCUGAGCGGUUAUUGGGUCUGUGUAGAUCCUGAAACAGCGGAAUUGUGGCCAUGGUACCCAGUACCUUUGAGUCUGGGUUGGAUAUUUAGUAACCUGUCAGAGGUAAGGAGUGACACUGGUUUCUGGAACCAAGCAGAAAAACAUAGUUGACCCUUGGUUAGGAGUGUUUGAGGACAAUAUUGCCUGAACCAAACAGGAGCAGGAGAGAACCAGGGAGAAAGUGGCUGUGAGUAGACCUUCUCCUGGGGAGAGGACUGUAGAGGAGAAAGUGGUUGCCCCAUUAAUUGCACAAAAUAGAGAGAUCAAAGGAGUAGUAUACAUAUUAAGUGUCCCAACAGUACUUGGCUCUCCUGCUCAUCUGAAGAUGGCACACCUAGUGGGGAUUGUAGUUACACCCACCUACCUUUUAAUUGGACAGAAGUAUGUUAUAUUGGAUUAGUAAGAUCAGCCUUUUUCUUUUUAGAAGGACCAAAGGGGCAUGACCUUGGGAUCCCAUUAUAUGAUGAUUUCCAAAGACAGAAAAGAACCUUAGAUACCAGCAUUACCCAGUCAGGAGAUGCCAGUGGUUGGGGGAAUGAAUGGCCACCUGAAAAAACAAUUCAAACUUAUGGACCAGCAACUUGGGCCCAAGAUGGGAGGUGGGGAUAUAGAACUCCCAUCUAUCUCCUUAAUAGAUUAAUUGGGCUCCAGACAGUGGAUUAUUUAUAAUUAUAACUAUAUAAAAUUAUAACUUACCAAACUGCACAGAACUACCUGCUGAUCAAGCCACCUAGACAUGGGCAGCUGUGUAUCAAUAUAGAUUAGUAUUAGAUUAUCUUCUAGCAGGAGAAGGGGGAGUUUGUAGAAAAUUCAAUAUGAGUAAUUGCUGUCUACAAAUUGAUGAUAAUGGGCAAAUAGUUAAAAAUCUGGCUACAAAACAUUCGUAAAGUGGCACAUGUGCCAGUUCAAAAGCGGAAAGGAUGGUUUGACUCAAACUGGUUUAAUUGGCUGACAGGGUCAUGGUGGAAGCAACUUGGAAUGAUAAUUAUGUUGGGAUUAGAGGGAUUAUCAUUUAUACCUUGCUUGAUUCCUUUACUGAUAAGGCUUAUUUCAGUGUGGUAGAGGGGAUGCAAAUUGUUAAGUUGCUCAGUUGUGGUAGUAAAAAGAAAACCCAGUUCUAGAGAAGAAAGGGAGGAGAAGGAAUGUUUAAAACUUCUGGAAAAUUUUGAGAAAAGGGCUAAAAAGGAAAAUAA